AUGGGUGCCCACCCGUAUUCUCCUCCCCAGUUCUAUAUCCCUUUGCCCCAGCUAGCUACUUCCAUCUGCCUCUUCCUGCUCAGAGAGCGAGGGAAUUUCAUCUGUGCGAAGAGGGAUCGAUCGAUGGUGAUGAUGGGGCAGCUGGGGAGGCUCGUGGACGGGCUGAGGUCCAAGAUGCGGGCCGGCGGCGGUGGGAAGAAGGGGGCGGGGAAGAAGGCAGCGGCAGCGUCGGCGUACGAGCAGAUGGGCAAGACGGAGAGCAUGAGGGUGGAGAUCAAGAGCCGGCAGGCGCAGAAGCUCAUCGCCAAGAACCUCGUCGCCGCCGACUCCAUAGGCCGCAGGAGCAGGAACAAGCGCUUCUUCCUCGCCUUCUAG
rnacentral:rRNA from 1 species